AGUACAACUUCUGAAUAAAACCGAAACCAUCCAACUGGAAGAAAACGUUGGAAAAGAUUGUUUGUGAAAAAUGAAAUCAGGACUUCUUCUAAGCCUUCUGACAUCUUUCACUUGACUAUGGAAGGUUCCAUUUUGGCCACAUACAAAUCCAGAUGCAGAGGAAGAAAUUACUAUUAGCAUAAAGACUACAUCUUUACUUCAUCCUUCCUUAAUCCUGGAUCUAAUUUAUUUCUCUUUCAGUAAAUGCUGUGCUACUGCUGUUGCUGCUGCUGCUGCUGAUCUUCUUGUCUCUCAAGGAUAUUUUCGGGAUUAUUAUACGUCCUUGUUUAUCACACAACCUUUGAACAUUGCAAAGUACAGCAAGAUUUUCUCUGGAAAAAAAAUUAAUAAAUGAUUGGCCUAUGGGACUUGACUUUUUGAACGCCUACUUUAUUACAUCUGUGCAUCUUUGCAUGCCAUUAUACAAAAAUCCAUCUUUGUUGUCAUAUAAAAGAUCUUCCUUUGCAGAGCUAUCCAACCACAAACUCUCACGGAAGAUGAAAAUGCAACUCGUUGAAAUCUGACUAAGCAAUUGAAUUAACUAAUGCAAUAAAACAAUGUUACAUCUAUUUCACUCAAAUAAAUCUCCUUUGGCAUAUU